UACAGAGGUUGCAAGCGUUGUUCGGAAUUAUUGGGCGUAAAGGGUCCGUAGGUGGCAAUCUAAGUCAGAUGUGAAAUCCCCCGGCUUAACCUGGGAACUGCGUCUGAUACUGGACGGCUUGAGUAUGGGAGAGGGAUGUAGAAUUCCAGGUGUAGCGGUGAAAUGCGUAGAUAUCUGGAGGAAUACCGGUGGCGAAGGCGGCAUCCUGGACCAUUACUGACGCUGAGGCGCGAAAGCUAGGGGAGCAAACGGG
rnacentral:rRNA from 1 species